ACAGCGCUAGAAUUCCUCCUCCCACCCUCCUCUCUGCAUCUGACUCACCGGACAGCACCGUCAAGGCGGCCCUUCCGCAUCGCGCUCCCUCUUUUCGGCGCGGUCCUUUCUCUGCCUCCCUUCCUCGUCGCGCUUCCUUCUCAUCGUCGGACACUAACCCUCAGUUAGAGAGCGAGCCCAGACCCAAGUUGCUGAUUGCGGCGUCGUAAUUGUCCUCCACUACUCUGCCAUACGUCUCAGUCCAGUCCAGAAGUGUCGUCGUCCUUCUCAGUCUAGUCUCAUCCCCUCCGUAGCAGUCGCCGACCCACCGUGUCUCACUGUCCAGCAUCUCCGUCUUCUUUAGUGAAGCGUUUGCCGACAGAAGCAAUUUAAUGAAAGAUGAAACAAUAACAUGGUCAUCAUCUUUGCCUUAAAGGUCCCCAAGAAAAAGAUGUGGUGUUACUCUCUCACGGUAAUAUUUUAGACAGAAUUGUCAAGUUAAGGAGAUCGAUCAAACAGUGGAAUGUCGUCCAACAAGCCAAGCUAAGCUAAUGUUAUAUUAUGGUUUGCAGAUUGAAAUGCAGGCCAAGCUGGAAUGGUUUUGCAGGUGUCUAUCUCACAAUUUAUAAGCUUUCAUUACCAUCAAUAUCAUAAAGAAUACACGAGCCCACCUACUUAUAAAAUAUUCCUUGUUGAUAUUGCAAGUGUCUAUUUCAGAAUUUAUUUAAUGUUUAGUGUCUAACUAUAUAUAUGGAAUAUAAAAACAGAAUGAUUAUCACACAUGAAUGAUAGAGUAUUUUAGAUUGAUCGAAAAUAUAUGUUCAGUUCUAAUUAUGUAUAUAUGGAUUAAAAUAUUAUUAGAAAUAAUUAAUAUCAGAGUAAGUUACAUAUGUUUUUGCAAGUUAUCCUUGUAAGUAUUGAGUAUUUAUUGUUGAUUUUUUGGAAAUGUUAUUGAUUAUUUGUUGAACCUAUUUUAUUUUGUUGUUCUGCUGCUUCUGUUAAACUUUUAUAUGAUUCUUUGUUUCCAAUUUUGAUUUUUAAUGCAUAUAUCCUCGAACACCAGGUAUAUCUCCUGGUUUAUCUGCAACUCUGGCCGACUCUCAUGGUAUCUCAGAUAGUCAUGAAUGUUGCAACUGAUUGGAUUUGUUUGAAUUUCUGCUUCUGUUUGACUAAUUUAUGUUCUAUGUUCAGUAUAUCUUGAAAUUGUUAAUUGUUGUUGAUUGUUGUAUUUGUUUAUGCAGUUUGUUGUAUUUGGGGGU